GUCAUUAUAAAUUACUAUAGUGUUCGGAUAGUUGGACGUAACCGAAACUUCAGAAACCGAGGAAGAUUCGGUUUCACAGUCAAAGGAAGGACCUUGCUUGGUAGCAUUCGCGUCUGAACAAUUCGAACCACAUGAAUAUUGAAAAUCGAGUGGAUAUUUCACACCUCCCGUAGCCGGUGCUCUUUUAUCUCGUCAGGGACCAAAGAACUUUAGUGGAAGAUCCAUCAUCGGGGGCCACCUAGAUGGUUGCUUCACUCUCAUUACGAUUGGCGGAUGAUGAGAGCUCGAUGAACCUACCGCCCGUGGCACAUACACUGGAUCUGGCUGAAAUGGAGGUAAAACCGGUACUGUUGCAGGUACGACUGGAACUUGAGGGCGUACUUCCGGAACACGUACCGGAAAUGGAGGUCUGCGCGGUAUCUGUUUUUCUCUCCUUCCCAUUAUGCUAUUUUAAAUAUCAAACAAUUUAUUUAAAUUAUACAUUCAAAAAAUUAACUAAACAAUAAUUAAGUAAUGCAUUUAAAAAAUUAGAUUAAUAAACUAAAAUGAUAAUUAAAAUCAGAAAUUACGUACUUCGAAUUUUUGGUGAAAUGAAGAUCAAGUUUCCCUUGUAUAAGCUUGUUUAGCACCAACACAUGUGAGUUUGGAAUAAACUAUAUCAAAUUACAGCUUGAUUUAAUUAGCCAAUAAUUGAAUUAAUUAUUCAAUUUAAAAAAAAAAAUCCAUGACCUAUUUGCUUUUAAUGAUAAUUGAAAUCAAAUCACACAAUUCAAUUUGUAACAUAUAAAACAACUAAAAUCAUUGAAAUAUAAAAUAUAAACGUGAGGAUGUCAUCAGAUCAAGGAUGUAGAAAGAAAAAGGGGGGAAAAGAGAACUAACUAAUAAAGAGAAGUAAUUAAUCUGUAUCAUUGCAUUUCUUUGUUGUAUGUGAUAAAAAUCCAAAAUCAAUCAUUCUUAAUGUUCGAUGCAGUGACUACGAGUAAGGAGUCAACAACACAUGCUCUCUCCGACAGAUGCUUCCAAGAAAAGAAAAAAAGUUUUUUUUUAAUGUGAGUCUGUCUGUAAUUGACCCAAAAAAACAGCAAUAAAAAUAUAUGAAAAUUGAAAACAGAAUCGUUUCAUUUUUUUGUUUGGUAGAAACAUUUCUAUGUUCAUGUUGUUUGCUUUUUUAUUUUUUAAAGAAUUUUUGUUGGGUAAAUGGUAGAUUGGUAGAGAUGACAACUCUGUCAAAAUCUAUCAAGUAGCAACAGAGCAGAUCAUUGGUGGGUUUAUCCCUAUAUUAUAUAUAAAUAGAACAGAUUAAUAGAUUACAGAAGAAGAAGAAAACACAGAUAAUGGUGUUUUAUUCUGGAGUGAUUGAAUCUUAUAAUGAGGUUAGGUCAUUCACAGAUGUACCCCACAAGCCAUACAUGACACAUGACGAUUCAAUUGGAAGACUCUAUCAGACUUGCUGUAAAUUAUAAUGUAACUUGCUUGCCCAAAAUAACAAUAAAAUCCAGAGUGUCUUUCACGUGGGGAGCACAAAAUCCAAAUAAAAUCCAAGUAGGAUCGAUAAUAAACAAAAGAACAGAGAGGAAACUGGAAAAAAAGAUGUGGGUGAGUAAGGAAAGGAACAUUGGACAAUCUCAGGACAUAACAAUAACAAUAAACUGGAAGAAAUAACAGGAUGAGAGUGACAGUGGAUGAAGAAAAUAACAGUGGAUAAUCUCAUUUUGAAAAUAAAUUCUCUAAAUCAAAGAACAUAAAAAUAAACCAGAGGAUGUCAUAGAACUCACCGGAGGAGGUUUUUUAAUUCACCAAGUCCUCAUUGCCCUCACUGCGGAUGAAGAAAUUGAUCACUGUUCUCACUGCGCCCGCUGGAAGAUGAAGAACUUGUGCUCGUCGGAAGAUAAAGAAGUCGUGGUCGCCGAUGCCGGAAUGGAAUGCAAGAAAUAGGAACGAUUGGGUUUGGGUUUAGAAGAUAUUGAAAAUCGGGAGGUUUAGGGAUAAGGAAUUCAUUUU
rnacentral:lncRNA from 1 species